UUAAGAAAACAAAUAUGUCUCUUUUAUAUUCCCAUAUAACUGCGCUACAAAUUUAAAUUAAAAUAAAUAAAUAAAUUGAAUUAAAUUGAUACAAAUAUUAAAUGGAUAAUUGUAAAAAUAAAAACCCAUAAACCCCCCACUCUACAUAACCAAGACAGCAACGAAAACCCCUACGGCCACAGAUCCGGCGGCGGAGAACCUAUUCAAAACGGCGCCGUUGGUGGCGGGUGCGGGAGCCUCAGAGGGCGGUCCAGAGACUGAAGAUGGAGGGAUCGCUGGAGAUUCAGGGGAAACGGAUAGGGGAGAAGGUGGAGAGACUGCGACGGGAGACUGAGAAGGAGCAGCCGAUGGUGGAGUGCUCAAAGGAGAAGGCGAAGCCUUGGGUGGAGUGCUCGAUGGAGAAGGGGCAGCGGCGUGUUUGGGAGAGAGCGCAGGGGACUUGGCGGGUGACGAUGUAGGGGAUUGCGCCCUUGUUGAGGCCAACAAGAGAGAAGCCAUUAGCACCAAAACGACGCUGCUUAAUCUGGCCAUUGUAGAGAGAGAGAGAGAGAAUUCGCACGAAGAGAGAGAGUGAGGGUCUGAGAGGCAGAGAGGCGAAGGAUGUGGGUUUAAGGAGAGCAGGGAGGGGGGCUUUUUAUAGAGGGGUAUGGUGAGAAGACUUGGCUGAGGGAUCGCCGUU
rnacentral:lncRNA from 1 species